CCGUCACUCAUAAAAGGAAAUAUUUCUGGACCUAGGUGGCAGACAACAUCCAGUAAUCAACCUGUAAGCAACAAUGAAAAUCAUUACAUUGAUAGCUGCGUGUGUCGUGUGUGCUUUGGGUACACCACACCGUUCCAAAAGAGAAGAUGGUUUGUUAAGUCCCACAGACCUACUUAAUAAGGGCGAAGAAACUUUAAAUGAACUGAAAAAACAAGUAGAGAAUUUCGAUUCCUCCAAGAUUUUUGGCGAUAACGCACCAUUUUCUGAUGGCGAGAAAGCCCAGCUGGAGGCAAUGCGUUCUACAAAUUUUUUUAAUUUUAAUAAUACCGACCUAGCGCGUGUAUUUGAAGUACUGCAUAGAUAUCGUCGAAUGAGUAAUGAGACACGAGAUGCCUUUGAAGGCUUGAUGGGAGAACAACGAGAAAUCACAGAUGAUUUGUUAAACAAGUUGCCUUUAAUAUUAUUUACAAUAGUUACACCUGAUAACAUGAUGAAAAUACAGAGGAAGUUGACAUCGUCUCAAAUAGGGCAUAUAUGCAGGAAAGCAUUGCAUCUGGACAUUGGAGCUUUCAGGCGUAUCGCAAAGAUGUUUCAGUGCCACAAUAACUUCGGAAAAGAUGCGCCGGAAAUGGAUAGACAGCAAACUGCCGGUUUGGUAGAUGCUUUUAAAGAAGCUAAUGGAGAAGCAUCUACUUGGAAUGAAACUGUCUGGAUGAACGUCAUUCCAUUUAUACAAGGUCUUGACUCAGACGACAUCAAGCUUAUG